GAAACAUCACCCAUUAAGAAUAUAGGGAUAGGAGGAAAAAGAAUUAAGAAUCCACUCCUCAUGGCACAUAUGAAGAACAACACACAGGCUCUAUGUUUGGUAGUUCUUCUAAUGAUGUCCAGCACUUUAUGGUCAUGUCAAGCAACUGCAAGAAACAAAGGUACAACUGGAUUGUGGACUUCAUGUGAUCUUUUCCGAGCAUGCCAGACACCAACACCCAACAAUGUUACUAUGUGCAAGAUUAGUUGUGAAUGGCGUGGUUUCCACUUUGAAAAAAGUUACUGCGCCCGUGCAUCGUGUUGUUGCGUAUGGUGAAUGCUAUGGAAAUGAUGGAUGCAAUGUACUUUCAUGUGCCAAAACAUUGUGCUAGUAAGAUAUGGAAAGUUACAAUAAAUUAUGGAUUUUGGUUCGA